AAUUGAUAGUUAAGUGUCCAUUUGGGAAGUGCGCUCUAAGACGAGCUUGUGCAUCUUUGAACGCAUAUUUAGUGUUUCUCUAAGACUUUUUUAAAAACAUGGUCAGCUUAACAUAGCUUACUUCUUGUGUGAUAAAUUGUUAAAUUAUUAAAUAGUUUUCAUAGUACAUGCUUGUAAUUAAUAAUUUAUUUAUUUUUCUUGCAGAUGGCCAUCUGUACUACCUAAGACAUAGAGGACAGCCUAAUUGUCAUAAGGCCAAGGUGCUCCGUGGAAAAGAGGAGGCCAAUGUAGUCUUUGUAGACUUUCAUGCCAGCAGCACUGGUGCACACUGUGGCCAGAAAAAGUCAACAGAGGCCAUCUCAAAAAGAUUUUACUGGCCUGGCUUGUCAGACGACAUUAAACAGUGGGUGAACCAGUGUACUGCAUGCCAGGCCAGCAGAGUCGUCAUUAAGCAGGAGGUGGAGUACACACCAAUAAAAGUUUCAAAACCAUUUGAGCUUAUUGGAAUGGAUCAGUAUAUUUGCGUCAUGGUUGAUUACCUGACAAAGUGGCC